GUGGCUAAAAGCGGCUGAUGAAUCAGCAGGGCCAUUAUGGCGCCGUACCUGGGCCAGUGUACCGACGAGAAUUUCGAAGGGUCGCUUCAUAUCGCUCCGAUCCGAAAAGACUCCAGCACGCGCACAUUUAAUGCCAAAAUAUCUGGGGGUGGCAGUGCACAAGAUUCGAGGGGACGGUUUCGGCUGUGCUCAUCUCUCUCUGUACUUUCUUCGUUCGAAAUUCAAACUCGAAAGUAGGGGGACUGGUGUUGGGUAUAAAAUACCCACAGCCGAAGUCCUCAGCAGAAUCUGCGCAAAUAGACUCCGCCCGGACUCCUACGGGAGCCGGGCUCCGUCCUCAACAUCAGCUGCC
rnacentral:lncRNA from 1 species